rnacentral:rRNA from 1 species
GUCGACUUGGAGGUUGUGCCCUUGAGGCGUGGCUUCCGGAGCUAACGCGUUAAGUCGACCGCCUGGGGAGUACGGCCGCAAGGUUAAAACUCAAAUGAAUUGACGGGGGCCCGCACAAGCGGUGGAGCAUGUGGUUUAAUUCGAUGCAACGCGAAAAACCUUACCUACUCUUGACAUCCAGAGAACUUAGCAAAGAUGCUUUGGGGCCUUCGGGAACUCUGAAACAGGUGCUGCAUGGCUGUCGUCAGCUCGUGUUGUGAAAUGUUGGGUUAAGUCCCGCAACGAGCGCAACCCUUAUCCUUUGUUGCCAGCGGUUAGGCCGGGAACUCAAAGGAAACUGCCAGUGAUAAACUGGAGGAAGGUGGGGAUGACGUCAAGUCAUCAUGGCCCUUACGAGUAGGGCUACACACGUGCUACAAUGGCGCAUACAAAGAGAAGCGACCUCGCGAGAGCAAGCGGACCUCAUAAAGUGCGUCGUAGUCCGGAUUGGAGUCUGCAACUCGACUCCAUGAAGUCGGAAUCGCUAGUAAUCGUGGAUCAGAAUGCCACGGUGAAUACGUUCCCGGGCCUUGUACACACCGCCCGUCACACCAUGGGAGUGGGUUGCAAAAGAAGUAGGUAGCUUAACCUUCGGGAGGGCGCUUACCACUUUGUGAUUCAUGACUGGGGUGAAGUCGUAACAAGGUAGCCGUA